UUUCUGCAUCAUUAACAGUGUUGACUAUGGAGGGGAUAUCUUCUAUAAAUCUAGCUGCUCCAUCAAUGUAGAAUGUUAAAAUAAGAUAAAGAGGGCAUAUAGGGAUAAGAGAAAACAGUUCUUACUAUUUUAUAAUUUCCACUAGACAAAAGAAAAUGUAAAAGUAUUUUCCACUUGACCAGAGAUCAAUCACACUCAUUUAACAGAGAAGAUGGUAUCUUAGCUAGUCAGUGAAAAAGUACAAAAGGCUUGAAUGAAAUUGAUUACACGAUGAUUUCUCCAGCCCACCCCAAUCCUUCCUACAUGACAGAACCUCUGAGCAUCUCUUUGAAUGCAAGAGCUGGUGAUAUAGGAUAAUCGGAACAGCCCAACUUUAACAAGAAAGUGAAGCACAUCUGCCUUUUGAUUUUUUUAAAAAAGGUCACCAACAGGAUUGGCAUAACAGGGUCUUUUUGGUCUUUAAACAUCUGAUUCACCUUCAGCAAAGGGGAACCUCUUGAUUAGAAAAAUUAUUUCAUAAGGCUUGCAACAAUAGUGUUCCUUCUUUUCAUAUCAUCUCCUCAAAUAGGUACAAUUUUCUCGGAUCUGUACUCAGCGCGUCUGCAUUUCACUACAUAGGGGUGCGGGCACUUUUCUCAUAGAACAAGUUAUUGUGACUCUUAAUAGACUGCUUUAGACCAAGUGGGUUAGUUAAAUUUAUGUAGUAAGAAGUGCUUGAGGUGUAUGUGCACAUCUAGAAAGAAAGAAAAAAAAAAAAAAAACAGGAAUAUUCAGUUGUUCUGUUAACCACAGUGUGUAUAUUUUGAUUUCAUAUUAAACCUCUCCUUUGAGAAGUAAGAUGGGUGUUCUCUUGGAUCUGUAGUGCUCAACAAUUUUAUUAUUUUUAACAAGAGGGUACAAUUUACGAAGUUGAACAUAAAAUUUCAAUCUAGGGAAACUUGAAAAGAGUUUAUAGCAUUCAUUAGAACUAUGGGCAGUUCCUUGUUCUGUUUUGUUUUGCUUAAGUAUAUUGUCCUCUUUGGAAGCUUACAGAGGGUGGUCCCCAAAAUGCUUUAUUUCCUGAAUAGAAUUUCUAAUUCAACUGCCCAAACCUCUGAGAUGUCAGAUAUCAGGUGCUAAAAGAAAAGAAAACUUCCUAUCAAAAUUUUCUUAAUUAAUACUUAAUUGCACAUACCAUUUAACCUUCCACAUUAUAUGUAUUAUCUUUUAUAUUUCUCUAGCUGUCUUAUUAUUACUUGAAUAGCAUCAUUGUAUAGAUAUCCUUAUUUUCUGUCACAUCAAAGAUAUUUUUAGUUAGAUUAUAAGUAAAAAAUACAGUAAAUAUCUCAAUAUGUUAUAUUCUAAAAAGAAAAACUUAAUAAUAUUUCAUAAUUUUCAUGAAAUAGAAACUUAAACUAGUGGAUCGGUAAGAGUAAACUAAAUAAUUAAUGCCACUUUGAACAGCACACCUAUGAGUUUCUGUAUCUGUUGUAGAAUAAGAGGAAUUUCAAAAUAGAAUCACUUUUUUGGUCUGUGAUGAACCAACCUUCAAUUUUCUGUGUUGAAUGAUUCAAACCAAAGAGAAAGACAACAGCCAGAACUAGGCCAAAGCAAAAACUGAGUACACUGGAAAAUGAUGUUUAUUUUCAUAAAUAGUAAUUAUCAUGACAUAAAUGAUAGCAAUAAAAGUAUUUGGAUGACUUAACUUAGUGUGGUAACUACUCCACUAUCCCAAUUGUUUAACUGUUUUGAAUAUUUAAUUUAAAAAAAACCCUAAAACACAAGAACUGUACCAUAAUAUUUCUUUAUAAAAUUCUACAAGAGUAUACUAUUUGGGUAAUUUUCUAGAAUAGAUUUAAAUUUUCUUUUUUCCUCCUAGUUUUAGUGAGCUUUUUCACUGCUGUUACCAAAAGACUUAACAAGAACAAUUUUCGAGGAGGAAAAGUUUAUUUGGUGUUCACAGUUUCAGAGGUCUCAGUCCAAAGAUGUUCAAUGACAUUGGUCUGGGUCAGAGAUGAGGAAGAACAUCAUGGCAGAAGGUAAAAGUGUGUCAAAACAUGGCAACAGAAAGCAGAGAAAAAGAGCUUCCCUCACCAUGACAACAUACUAAGCUCAAAGGCCAUGCCCUCAGUGACCCAUCUCCUUCAUUCACACCCUAGCUGCCUACAGUCACCACCCAGUUACUCUUGUAACCAGAUAAUUUCACCUCUAAAUGCAUUGUCUAGCAUUGUCUUAUACAAAUGAGGUUUUGUGGGACACCUCAUAUCUAAACCAUAAUACUCCUAUUACUGAAGGCUUUUAUUUAUAGGGUUAUUUAUCAUAUUUUCCUUAAGCCAUCAGAGCUGCCUCUCUUCUCUUCAGUUUCCCAAUUGCUUGGAGUCAGGGAGCCAGGGAUAAGGAGAAAGUUGACUUCUGUUAUCUAUUCUCAGUGCAAUAUCUAAAAGUCCUCAUUCACUUUAAUGCAAGCUACACACAAUGCAAAGAAGGCCUUCAUUCACAGUAACCCUUAUUCAUUGUUAGUCCUCUAACAGCCAACACUAGCCAGUCAGUCUUAUUAUGUGGAAAGUCCAGACUGCUACUUCUGGGGAAGAAGAGUACAUUUGAAAAAGCUUUCCCUGAUAACAGGGCUUUAUUUCCUCACACCAUCAUUUAAAAACCUUUUAAACAGCAGACUGGGUCUUGGAUGGUAAUGCCUUGCCUAGCAAUUAGUGGUGAAGGUGCUGGACUUUAAAAGGCUUUUAAAUUAUGUUAUGAAAGGUCCAUCUACAAUGGCUUUAAUUAUUCAGGGUAAAGUCUAUAUUCUCCGCCCAUUGCUGAGGCACUACUAAGCUCUUCAAAGACUGUCACUCCCAAAGAUUGACAGUUGGAAAUUUGCAAGACACAAGAUUUUCAGUAUUAUGUGGCUGCAAAAUGAAACCCAAUUUCAUAUGGAAAUUGUGUUUUUUCCCCCUUUUUCCUUUGAGUGGACUAACAAGCAAACUUCAAAAGUUCUUUAGAUUUGAUUCAGGCUAUCUGAAAUGUAUUGAAGGGCCUAUAUAUCCGUAAGACUUUGAAUACAAAAAAAGAAAGAAAGGAAGGAAGGAAGGAAGGAAGGAAGGAAGGAAGAAAGAAAGAGGAUCUUUUUCUUCAUUAAUAGGCCCAAAGUCUGGAAACCUCAGAAUGGAUCCAAAUGAGGUCCAAAUACUAAGGUGACUAAAACAGACUGGUCCUAACCCUGAGCUGACCCAGUACAUGAAUAAAAGCAAAAGAUAACUUGAACUCUCUACCCAAGAGUGGAAGCAGCAAAUAAAUGAAUAGCUAGUUCCUAAGCAAAAGUAACCAAUUUUGUGGAUUGCUCAAAUUCCCAAUCACCCAGGAAGAGGUUCCCCACUUCAGGAAUACUGAUAGAAGUGUGGGUUCAAAAUCAGGCAUCUGGGAAGGGUAACAGAGUGGGUUCCAAACUUGACCAGUUCUUUACAUCUCUCAUUUUCUCCAGUGGCAUCUUCACCGUACUAUUUGGAAGAAUAAGUAAACCAUGUUCUGAGUAAUUAACAAUGUUAAAAGUAGAUGUGGAAACUGGCUUUGCAGACUAAAUGCAAUGCCAUUAAUUCUCUUUAAUUUGUUAAUGGCUGUAAAUUUGGUUGCAAUGAUAAAAGCAACAUUGCCAGACUGGGGCUGACUUCAGAAGGAAUGUUAAAAUAUUGAAGGCUCCAGGCUGGCAGGAAUCUAGAGUUGUUUUGUUGUUGUUUGUUUUGUUUCAUUUUCCUUUUAGAGAAUCAACCACAAAAUCUGAUGUUUUUAUCAGGCACCAGACAUUUAAAAUCAAACCCAAAUGAUCAUCAUUUUCCUUCAGUCAGAAGACCUCAGACCUUCAACUCGGGGUUAUCAGCUCCCCAAAUUAAGGCACACUUUCCUCUCUGAUUGGUUUAUUUCAGGAGAACUUUCAGAGGUCAAACUGAUUUUAUAGAUCCGCCUGUGAGAAAUAGAAAUUUUGGUGGUUCAUUUUUAGAAUACAGUAUUUAGCCUUAAACAUAAAAUUACUAAAGAUUCAAGAAAAUCACCUGAAGAGCAAACUGAACAAAUAUUACCAGCAGUAAUAUCUGUGUGUGACAGAUUUAUAGCCCCUUGUCAAACAGGAGGUGAGGGGGAAGCGUCAGCCUGACCAAAAAAAAAAAAAAUGAACUUCGUAAGUUCAAAAUGCACUGAAUACCAGAUGUGCUUUCCAGCCAUUGAGAACAAAGGGAAGUGGGAACAACUAAAGUUUUGUUUUUUUUAAAUAACCCAAAAAGGAGACAGUAAAACCUAGGCAAUGUUCAAGAGGACUGUGUAUCCCAUAGUACUCAGCCAAUGAGGAACAGAGGGAGAGACCCUGCACUUGGGGAGGAAGUGCUGAUUGAAACUGCCUCUAGAGGUGCCUACUUCCUGAGACACCCCUUCAUGCAAGACCAUCAUUAUAGUGGAGCCCUUCUUUCUGUGUAUCUUUGACUUACAACCCAUUCUUUGGGUUUGGACAAGUGAAAAUGUUUUUCACAAUUCCCAUGAAUUUCUGAGUUUUAUUUGACAUGUUGAGGGCCAAGUAAACACUCUUCAAUAACAUUUGAGGAAAAAAAAUUUCCCUGAAUCAGAAGUGCUGAAGGAUUAUUUUUUUCUGCAUUCGUUAUUGGCUUAUUGGUUACUAUGAUAUUUUCUGUAAUUCUCCAUUUCAAUUUUCACUUAUGAGGAGAUCAAAAUUAUUCCUAUGUUCUUAUUUCCUACUAGUAUAAUUUUGAUAAUGUACUCUUGUACAAUUGGGGACACAUCCUAUAGAAAGAAAAUAUAAUUUUUUCCCAAAAGAAAAGGGUAAUAAAUCUUACAAUGAGGUGUCUAUAGUCAUUUUUCCUGUCCUUGUCACCUGUAAUACAUAUGCACAUUUGACACUCUCUUAUCACAGUUUUUCAAUAAAUUUCUAAAUAAAAUAAAUAUGAAAAUAUC
rnacentral:lncRNA from 1 species